rnacentral:rRNA from 1 species
UACGAAGGGGGCUAGCGUUGUUCGGAUUUACUGGGCGUAAAGCGCACGUAGGCGGAUCUUUAAGUCAGAGGUGAAAUCCCAAGGCUCAACCUUGGAACUGCCUUUGAUACUGGGGAUCUUGAGUCCGGGAGAGGUGAGUGGAACUGCGAGUGUAGAGGUGAAAUUCGUAGAUAUUCGCAAGAACGCCAGUGGCGAAGGCGGCUCACUGGCCCGGUACUGACGCUGAGGUGCGAAAGCGUGGGGAGCAAACAGG